rnacentral:pre_miRNA from 1 species
UGGCAGUGUGGUUAGCUGGUUGAUGAUGAUAAAUUUCAACAGCUAUCCGAGCUGCCCAU